rnacentral:rRNA from 1 species
GACGAACGCUGGCGGCGUGCUUAACACAUGCAAGUCGAACGGAAAGGCCCUGCUUUUGUGGGGUGCUCGAGUGGCGAACGGGUGAGUAACACGUGAGUAACCUGCCCUUGACUUUGGGAUAACUUCAGGAAACUGGGGCUAAUACCGGAUAGGAGCUCCUGCUGCAUGGUGGGGGUUGGAAAGUUUCGGCGGUUGGGGAUGGACUCGCGGCUUAUCAGCUUGUUGGUGGGGUAGUGGCUUACCAAGGCUUUGACGGGUAGCCGGCCUGAGUGGGUGACCGGCCACAUUGGGACUGAGCUACGGCCCAGACUCCUACGGGAGGCAGCAGUGGGGAAUAUUGCACAAUGGGCGGAAGCCUGAUGCAGCAACGCCGCGUGCGGGAUGACGGCCUUCGGGUUGUAAACCGCUUUCGCCUGUGACGAAGCGUGAGUGACGGUAAUGGGUAAAGAAGCACCGGCUAACUACGUG